UACAGAGGUCCCGAGCGUUGUUCGGAUUCAUUGGGCGUAAAGGGUGCGUAGGCGGCGGGGCAAGCCUGAUGUGAAAUCCCGGGGCUCAACCCCGGAACUGCAUUGGAUACUGCCUUGCUAGAGUACUGGAGAGGGAACUGGAAUUUACGGUGUAGCAGUGAAAUGCGUAGAGAUCGUAAGGAAGGCCAGUGGCGAAGGCGAGUUCCUGGACAGUUACUGACGCUGAGGCACGAAGGCCAGGGGAGCAAACGGG
rnacentral:rRNA from 1 species